UUAAGUGACUAAGCGUACACGGUGGAUGCCUUGGCAGUCAGAGGCGAUGAAGGACGUAUUAACUUGCGAUAAGCCCAGAUUAGGCAGUAAAAGCCACUUGAGUCUGGGAUUUCCGAAUGGGGAAACCCACUAGCAUAAGCUAGUAUCGCUGCGUGAAUACAUAGCGCAGCGAGGCGAACCGGGGGAACUGAAACAUCUAAGUACCCCGAGGAAAAGAAAUCAACCGAGAUUCCGAAAGUAGCGGCGAGCGAAAUUGGACUAGCCCUUAAGCUUUAUAUGCGUUAGACGAACGGUCUGGAAAGUCCGGCGAUACAGGGUGAUAGCCCCGUAGUUGACAACGCACAUUCAGUGAAAUCGAGUAGGGCGGGACACGUGAUAUCCUGUCUGAAUAUGGGGGGACCAUCCUCCAAGGCUAAAUACUACUGACUGACCGAUAGUGAACCAGUACCGUGAGGGAAAGGCGAAAAGAACCCCUGUGAGGGGAGUGAAAUAGAACCUGAAACCGUGUACGUACAAGCAGUAGGAGCAGGCUUGUCCUGUGACUGCGUACCUUUUGUAUAAUGGGUCAGCGACUUAUAUUCAGUGGCAAGGUUAACCAUCUAGGGGAGCCGUAGGGAAACCGAGUCUUAACUGGGCGUUCAGUCUCUGGAUAUAGACCCGAAACCAGGUGAUCUAGCCAUGGGCAGGUUGAAGGUUGAGUAACAUCAACUGGAGGACCGAACCGACUAAUGUUGAAAAAUUAGCGGAUGACUUGUGGCUAGGGGUGAAAGGCCAAUCAAACCUGGAGAUAGCUGGUUCUCCCCGAAAGCUAUUUAGGUAGCGCCUCGGACGAAUACUACUGGGGGUAGAGCACUGUUAAGGCUAGGGGGUCAUCCCGACUUACCAACCCUUUGCAAACUCCGAAUACCAGUAAGUACUAUCCGGGAGACACACGGCGGGUGCUAACGUCCGUCGUGGAGAGGGAAACAACCCAGACCGCCAGCUAAGGUCCCAAAUUACUACUAAGUGGGAAACGAUGUGGGAAGGCUCAGACAGCCAGGAUGUUGGCUUAGAAGCAGCCAUCAUUUAAAGAAAGCGUAAUAGCUCACUGGUCGAGUCGGCCUGCGCGGAAGAUGUAACGGGGCUAAGUAGUAAACCGAAGCUGCGGCAAUGUGCUUUUGCACAUUGGGUAGGGGAGCGUUCUGUAAGCGGUUGAAGGUGUGUGGUAACGCAUGCUGGACGUAUCAGAAGUGCGAAUGCUGACAUGAGUAACGAUAAAGGGGGUGAAAAACCUCCUCGCCGGAAGACCAAGGGUUCCUGUCCAACGUUAAUCGGGGCAGGGUAAGUCGACCCCUAAGGCGAGGCCGAAAGGCGUAGUCGAUGGGAAACGGGUUAAUAUUCCCGUACUUCUUACAAUUGCGAUGGGGGGACGGAGAAGGCUAGGUGGGCCUGGCGACGGUUGUCCAGGUUCAAGUGCGUAGGCUUGAGAGUUAGGUAAAUCCGGCUCUCUUUAAGGCUGAGACACGACGUCGAGCCACUACGGUGGUGAAGUCAUUGAUGCCAUGCUUCCAGGAAAAGCCUCUAAGCUUCAGAUUGUAAGGAAUCGUACCCCAAACCGACACAGGUGGUCGGGUAGAGAAUACCAAGGCGCUUGAGAGAACUCGGGUGAAGGAACUAGGCAAAAUGGUACCGUAACUUCGGGAGAAGGUACGCUCUCGACGGUGAAGUCCCUUGCGGAUGGAGCUAUUGAGAGUCGCAGAUACCAGGUGGCUGCAACUGUUUAUUAAAAACACAGCACUGUGCAAAAUCGUAAGAUGACGUAUACGGUGUGACGCCUGCCCGGUGCCGGAAGGUUAAUUGAUGGGGUUAGACUUCGGUCGAAGCUCUUGAUCGAAGCCCCGGUAAACGGCGGCCGUAACUAUAACGGUCCUAAGGUAGCGAAAUUCCUUGUCGGGUAAGUUCCGACCUGCACGAAUGGCGUAAUGAUGGCCACGCUGUCUCCACCCGAGACUCAGUGAAAUUGAAAUCGCUGUGAAGAUGCAGUGUACCCGCGGCUAGACGGAAAGACCCCGUGAACCUUUACUACAGCUUGGCACUGAACAUUGACCCUACAUGUGUAGGAUAGGUGGGAGGCUUUGAAGCACGUACGCCAGUAUGUGUGGAGCCGUCCUUGAAAUACCACCCUUGUAGUGUUGAUGUUCUAACGUCGACCCCUUAUCGGGGUUGCGGACAGUGCCUGGUGGGUAGUUUGACUGGGGCGGUCUCCUCCCAAAGAGUAACGGAGGAGCACGAAGGUGGGCUAAUCACGGUUGGACAUCGUGAGGUUAGUGCAAUGGCAUAAGCCCGCUUGACUGCGAGAAUGACAAUUCGAGCAGGUGCGAAAGCAGGUCAUAGUGAUCCGGUGGUUCUGAAUGGAAGGGCCAUCGCUCAACGGAUAAAAGGUACUCCGGGGAUAACAGGCUGAUACCGCCCAAGAGUUCAUAUCGACGGCGGUGUUUGGCACCUCGAUGUCGGCUCAUCACAUCCUGGGGCUGAAGUCGGUCCCAAGGGUAUGGCUGUUCGCCAUUUAAAGUGGUACGCGAGCUGGGUUUAGAACGUCGUGAGACAGUUCGGUCCCUAUCUGCCGUGGGCGUUGGAAGAUUGAAGGGGGCUGCUCCUAGUACGAGAGGACCGGAGUGGACGAACCUCUGGUGUUCGGGUUGUGUCGCCAGACGCAUUGCCCGGUAGCUAAGUUCGGAAUCGAUAACCGCUGAAAGCAUCUAAGCGGGAAGCGAGCCCUGAGAUGAGUCUUCCCUGAUACUUUAAGUAUCCUAAAGGGUUGUCGGAGACUACGACGUUGAUAGGUCAGGUGUGUAAGUGCUGUGAGGCAUUGAGUUAACUGAUACUAAUUGCCCGUGAGGCUUAACC
rnacentral:rRNA from 1 species